UCCAGCCCAUUUCUACUAGCUUUAAAUCAAUUUGGUGACAGUAUGCUUUUAACAAAUGCAUGUAAAAUUUACACAUUCUCUUCACAGAUCUGAAUUUUUUAUGUGACUCAUAUUGCGCUACACAAAUGUUAUCCAAUCAAAUACUUUCUAGAGCAAGUCCCUCCUCCAAACACCAUCUGAAAGCGACUAACAGCACAGUGUAGCUCUGUGAAGUGUCUCAGUUGGAGAUGUAAGAAUAAUAACAGAUUUACCUUUACAGAAGAUCUGAACCGCUCUGAAUGUGAAGAAGUGUCCUGAGGAGCAGCAGGUGUUGAGAGCAGAUUAAGGGAUGUGUUUGAACAGAAGCAGAGCGCUGGGACGUGUGGACAGACUUUCACUGUAAUGAUGGACAUCCGCUCGUGGACAGAAGUAUAACCCCUGCUGGACAUGGUGCCGGGGCUCGGGGGGGACCCGAAUCGUCCCCAUCCCUUCAUUCACACAACACUCACUCGUAUCGCGGAGAUCUGGCUGGGAUUGAACCAGCAACCUCUGAACCGUGAGGCAGUGCUCUUACCUUAGGCGGCGGAAGCGGCUUCACGUUCAGUCUGAGCGCUUCGGAUGAGUGACAGAAUGACGCUUGUUGUGACAACAUGUGCAGACCGUUUAAAAUACAGAUCCUGCAGAUGACAGCUCAGUGACAGUGUUUUUAAUAUCACUAAACUGCAUCUAUUCCAGGACAUAAACAAACAAAACCGACCCCCGCUGUGAUAAAGUGCAGGAAUGGAGAGUCACUGUAAGUAACUCCACACAUGCAGCGCUCUUCUCUCGCGCUAAACAUUGAAGUACUUACUCUUUACACUUAAGUCGUUAUUUACUUUAAUAGCCAAGUAUUUCAGUUUUGAUGUGUCAUUAUUUCCUCUGAUAUGUUGUAGCUGUGCUCCGCUGCCUGUUUUAUGUGAUGUUAUGAUUUAUGUUAUGAUUAAUUUCAUGUGUUGUUUUUAAUGUGUCUCCACGCAGACACUAAAGCACCACAAUCAUGCGUGGAUUUGUUCAUGUGUUGUUGUUUUGUUUUUUUGUUUUUUCUCACCUAAAAUCUUGUUUAAAUAGGCUACUUGCUAUUUGACAGCUAAGUAUUAAGGCAGUUGUGUACAUGUUUUUUAUGUACUAUUAUUUAUACUAACUCUUAAAUUCUGAUGGUUUAGAUGUACAAUAUAAAGUAAUGUCUGUGUUUAUCUCUCUCUUUCUCCUACAGAAUAAGGGAUGUAUUUGAACAGAAGCAGAGCUCUGGGACGUGUGGACAGACUUUCACUGUAAUGAUGGACAUCCGCUCGUGGACAGGUAAGACUUCUAACUUCUGUUUUUGUUUUGUUGUGUACUAAACAUGUAGGUUACCAUCAUCUUCUUUUUGGAGGGUCACCCCUCUGGAAAGCAAAUGAUGGUAACCUAAACAGGUGGGGAAGGGACGGCGGAGCUGAAAAUUUAUACAGCUAAAUUUUUAUUUUUUUUUCUGUCAAGAAGUAUAACCCCUGCUGGACAUGGUGCCGGGGCUCGGGGGGGACCCGAAUCGUCCCCAUCCCUU
ensembl:lncRNA